ACUCGUAACCUUUUGGAAAUUUGAUUUGAAAUCAAUUUGUUUGUUUUUGAUGACAAUACGGGUU
rnacentral:tRNA from 1 species